rnacentral:rRNA from 1 species
UCCGGGAGCAACCAUCUGGGAAAUAUGGCAAAUGGGGGAACCGUGACCCAACCGACGCCCGCGUUGGGUGAAAGAAAUCCUUCGGCGAUGUAGAACACUGGUUGUUAUGGGAAGACGCGGGAAGACCGGUUACCAUACGAGGAAGCCCCGGCAAACUUACGUGCCAGCAGCCGCGGUAAUACGUAGGGGCCAAGCGUUGUCCGGAAUUACUGGGCGUAAAGCGCACGCAGGCUGAAUUAUAAGUCGGUAGUAAAAGGCCGGGGGCUCAACUUCCGUAUAUCUAUCGAUACUGUAAAUCUAGAGUAUGUGAGAGGGAACGGAAUUCCCAGUGUACGGUGAAAUGCGUAGAUAUCGGGAGGAACACCAGUGGCGAAGCGGCUUCCUGGCACAAUACUGACGCUCAUGUGCGAAAGCUAGGGCAGCGAACGGGAUUAGAUACCCCGGUAGUCCUAGCCGUAAACGAUGGAUACUAGGUGUGGGUGUCGCAGGGCAUCCGUGCCGCAGUUAACGCGUUAAGUAUCCCGCCUGGGGACUACGGUCGCAAGACUGAAACUCAAAGGAAUUGACGGGGGCCCGCACAAGCGGUGGAGCACGUGGUUUAAUUCGAUGCAAACCGAAGAACCUUACCUGGGUUUGACAUGCCAGGUGUUAGUGAAGAGAGAUCGGAACGACUCUGCAGGAAUGUAGAGAGCCUGACAGUGUAACUG